AGAACGAACGCUGGCGGCAGGCUUAACACAUGCAAGUCGAGCGCCCCGCAAGGGGAGCGGCAGACGGGUGAGUAACGCGUGGGAACAUACCCUCCGGUUCGGAAUAGCUCAGGGAAACUUGGAUUAAUACCGGAUACGGCCUAGCGGCGAAAGAUUCAUCGCCGGAGGAUUGGCCCGCGUCUGAUUAGCUAGUUGGUGGGGUAAUGGCCCACCAAGGCGACGAUCAGUAGCUGGUCUGAGAGGAUGAUCAGCCACAUUGGGACUGAGACACGGCCCAAACUCCUACGGGAGGCAGCAGUGGGGAAUAUUGGACAAUGGGCGCAAGCCUGAUCCAGCCAUGCCGCGUGAGUGAUGACGGCCUUAGGGUUGUAAAGCUCUUUCGCUAGGGACGAUAAUGACGGUACCUAGACAAGAAGCCCGGCUAACUUCGUGCCAGCAGCCGC
rnacentral:rRNA from 1 species